GGAGCUACCUAAUGGGAUUUGGAGUCCUAAGAAAUUAUAGCCAGUGAUGUGCUGGAGCUAGACUCUACUCUUACAAGAGCCAGUGGAAUCAUCAGGCAAAGCCAGUAACAUCAGAAUGGCUUAGAGUUGAGAAAACCCACCCUUCUGGAAGCAGAGUGACAGAGGAGCCAUAUGGUGGUCUGGAGAAUAUGGCAUUUCCAUUCACAAUCCAAGCAACAGGAAAAGCAAGGAUGGCCUCUUACCAGUUAAGACUGUUCCUUUCCACAUCUCCAGAAGGCCCUCACAAGUCAAGGAGGAAGCAAAUUGUCAGCAAAAUCAAUCCAGUGAGCACAGGAAAAUACUGAAGCUGUUCCACCUUUGCUUCUGACAUGUUUGAUCUCAUACAGGAUGGCAACCAGAGUAGAAAAGUAUACGCAAAGAAAAAAUAUUUUGCACUGAUAAAAGGUAAAAAUGCCUGACUAAAUGUACUUAGGGCAGAAAUAACCAUGGCUGACCAUUAAUCAACUAUGUAUCACUGUCACUAAAAAUAACCUAUCACACACAUUCCCUCUUUCCUCUUAGCUGUCAUUAUCCUUGCUCGAGCCUUGUUAUUGCUAAUUUGGAUUCUUAGAGUUCUCUGUUAGACAAUCCUAUAGCAAUUGAUUUUUCCCUGCUCCAAUCCUAGCUAUAUAUUAAAGCCCCUGUGAUAUUUGUCACUCUGUUAUUCCAUAUAUUUCAAUGGUUACAUAUUCCUUACCAAAUUAAGUUCACUUUUUUAAAUCUGACCUAAACAUUUUUGCAACAUUACUUUCCACCAUCCAACCUGUACCCAAUAAAUCUAUAAACUGUUA